UGGCUGUCAGCGUUUGGUUACUUCGUCGCUGUAAACACUCCCAUCACAGCCAAUUUUAAGCUAUCAGCAAUUUAACAACCAGCUCACAAGAUUUCUGUAUAUUUAACAAAUGGCUCUUGUGAGCUGGGUCCAGGACACAACAAUCCUAAGACUAAGAGAUUCAUAGGCUUAAACUGGGGCUUGUGCAGGGAGGGGCAAUGGAGGAGCACACUGUUUUUCGUAGUGAAGAGGAUGAACUGGGCAGUAAUGGAUGGUCAGCAGUGGUCUCAGAGGAGAGGAAAUCUGUCUGCUCUCAAGAUUUCUACCUUUCUUCCUAGCAUCUGAGAACAGCAAUGUGGCAGAAGGCCUGGGAUUUUUCAGACUUCAGGGCACUCAGUUUUGCCUUUAAUGGAAAACCAACCUGGGUUGUACCAAUGGAAAGAGAAGUGUAGAGAAGACAUGAAGGAGGGAUCAGAGUCCACAGCCGUGCUCUCCUGCCU
ensembl:lncRNA